UAGGGAAUCUUCGGCAAUGGACGAAAGUCUGACCGAGCAACGCCGCGUGAGUGAAGAAGGUUUUCGGAUCGUAAAACUCUGUUGUUAGAGAAGAACAAGGACGUUAGUAACUGAACGUCCCCUGACGGUAUCUAACCAGAAAGCCACGGCUAACUACGUGCCAGCAGCCGCGGUAAUACGUAGGUGGCAAGCGUUGUCCGGAUUUAUUGGGCGUAAAGCGAGCGCAGGCGGUUUCUUAAGUCUGAUGUGAAAGCCCCCGGCUCAACCGGGGAGGGUCAUUGGAAACUGGGAGACUUGAGUGCAGAAGAGGAGGGUGGAAUUCCAUGUGUAGCGGUGAAAUGCGUAGAUAUAUGGAGGAACACCAGUGGCGAAGGCGGCUCUCUGGUCUGUAACUGACGCUGAGGCUCGAAAGCGUGGUGAGCAAACAGG
rnacentral:rRNA from 1 species